GCAGCAAUUGACAUCCCAUGAGUAAGUACCGCAGCCCUGUCCAACAGGGGUUGCAAGCAGGUAACACCAUGAGCCUGUAUAAAUUCCUUCAACUCGGCCAGCAAAUCUGUCAUGUGGGGGAGCAGCCAUGAGUAACCUCUACUUCCAUUCCACGGAGCAAGGCAUGAAGAUGUAGAUCUGACUUCUCUGCCCAGAACCGGAAAGGGAG